UACGAAGGGGGCUAGCGUUGUUCGGAUUUACUGGGCGUAAAGGGCGCGUAGGCGGCCAGCACAAGUCAGUUGUGAAAUCUCCGGGCUUAACUCGGAAAGGUCAACUGAUACUGUGCGGCUAGAGUGCGGAAGGGGCAACUGGAAUUCUCGGUGUAGCGGUGAAAUGCGUAGAUAUCGAGAGGAACACCUGCGGCGAAGGUGGGUUGCUGGGCCGACACUGACGCUGAUGCGCGAAAGCCAGGGGAGCGAACGGG
rnacentral:rRNA from 1 species